GGGGUAGCCUGGUUUCGACGUUGAUGAAUGGUAUAUAAGCGCAGCCAGUCUUUGAGCAAGAGACUUAAAACAGGUUCAAAACAAUAAAUGCUGACAACAUUGAUGCAGAGUACGAGGCGCUUUGCGCUGAGUACGCACUCGUGACCGUUUGAGUCACCGGGCUUGCGGAUGGCCUAGGAACAGAACAAUCCGCUUGUGUAGAACAUGCAAAACCCUGUAGUAAAUGAUGGACAUGGCUGUACAUCGACUGUAUGCUUGAAAUGAACGGACAGGGGUUCGACUCCCCUCUACUCCAC
rnacentral:tmRNA from 2 species